rnacentral:rRNA from 1 species
UACGUAGGAGGCAAGCGUUGUCCGGAAUCACUGGGCGUAAAGCGCGUGUAGGCGGAUCGCUAAGUCUGUUGUGAAAGCGCCUGGCUUAACCGGGCGAGGUCGAUGGAAACUAGCGGUCUGGAGGCCGGUAGAGGGGGGUGGAAUUCCGGGUGUAGUGGUGAAAUGCGUAGAGAUCCGGAGGAACACCAGUGGCGAAGGCGGCCCCCUGGGCCGCGCCUGACGCUGAGACGCGAAAGCGCGGGGAGCGAACGGG